CCUACGGGUGGCAGCAGUGGGGGAUAUUGCACAAUGGGGGAAACCCUGAUGCAGCGACGCCGCGUGGGUGAAGAAGUAUUUCGGUAUGUAAAGCCCUAUCAGCAGGGAAGAAAGAAGACGGUACCUGACUAAGAAGCCCCGGCUAACUACGUGCCAGCAGCCGCGGUAAUACGUAGGGGGCGAGCGUUAUCCGGAUUCACUGGGUGUAAAGGGAGCGUAGACGGCCGUGCAAGCCAGGAGUGAAAGCCCGGGGCCCAACCCCGGGACUGCUCUUGAAACUGUGCGGCUGGAGUGCGGGAGGGGCAGGCGGAAUUCCUGGUGUAGCGGUGAAAUGCGUAGAUAUCAGGAGGAACACCGGCGGCGAAGGCGGCCUGCUGGACCGCGACUGACGUUGAGGCUCGAAAGCGUGGGGAGCGAACAGGAUUAGAUACCCUAGUAGUC
rnacentral:rRNA from 1 species